rnacentral:tRNA from 1 species
CAACGCAGCCCUAAUGGUAGCAGCUGACUCUUAAUCAGCGGGUCCUAGGUUCGAGCCCUAGUGCGUCCACCA